rnacentral:tRNA from 1 species
CCCGGUGCGCAGGAGACGGUUACUUCGUUUCGGGAACGGGUGGUUGCGGGUUCGAAUCCCGUCCGGGGCU